rnacentral:tRNA from 1 species
GCCAGCGUAGCUCAGUUGGUAGAGCAGCUGAUUUGUAAUCAGCAGGUCAUCGGUUCGAUCCCGGUCGCUGGCU